rnacentral:lncRNA from 10 species
UUUGAGGUAGGUACUAUCUACUUCACUUCCGUGUCAGUCAAGAAACCUGCCCAGCAUGGAGGCUGGCCAGGCAGCAUGUCUCCACAGGCAAAGGUCUUGACCACCAGGGCACAACACCACUUCCCGGUCAGCACAACAUCAAAAGACGCUGUGGGGAAAGCUUCUGGACUGGCCAUUGACUUCCUUCCCCUUGACCCAUCCACCAGGUACCUACGCUGUGGACACCUCUGGACAAGGGGCAGCUGUACCCAUGGUGGAAACUAGGGCAUGGAGUUUUGCUGUAUCCCUGCCAAGCCCACUUUCUAGCCCUUGUUAGUUUGUGACUCCAUGCUAAUAAGGCAGGAGAAUAGGGAAUUAUGGUAACUAAGGUUUAAGGCAUAAACAAGAGAACAGCAGGUGCAGCCGGUUCUGGGCAAGAUUAGGCAGCAUCCAGGCCACGUGCUCGCUCUGAUAACAAGACAGAAGUCUUCACUUCAGCCUCUGAUUGGUCGAGGGCCAAUCCUUCACAGGGUGUAACCAACUGGAAGCCUCUAAGGGGCACGUAGGGGUGUUACCAAAUUCUUCUAGCUUAAUAAAAACCCUAAAAGCCAUUGUAAUCGGGGCUCUUGAGCCGCUUGCUUCAGCUUGCCUUCUGUGCCUUGGCUGCUUCGUUCUCUUGUUGCUUUGUUUGUGCAUUUUGUUCAAUGCUUUGUUCAACGCACCAAGAACCUGGACAACUCACAGUCAAGACUCUCCAUCCGCACAGUUCCCGUCCCAUUUCACCGCUGCCUCCAAAUUCCCACCCCAGCUGCGCCACGUCUCUCAAGCAGAGCUGGCGAUCCGAGAGCAGUGACUGGGGACGAGUGUCCACGCGGGGCUGACGAACUGUCAAAGCCGCCACCAUCUGUCAAGACCUAUGAGGACGCACACAGCACGGGCAGGCGGGCAGGAGAAGUGGCGGACGCAGUCGGCCACCCAGCAUCAGCUCCGGAGGCGCGCUGCUUCACCUGGUGACCUGUCCCCGGCCUACGGGUCUCCAGGAAGCACUCCAGUCCCUGCCAGAUGCUAGCGGGAAGGCAGGAGGGGGCGCCGUCCCAGCACCCCGGAAGCUGCCAAUCUGCUUGCGGGGCUGAGACCGAUCUAGGAAAGGGUAAGCAAAGAUGCACGCGCCUGGGCGGCACGCAGCGGAUUUCCAAGUCGUCUGCACAGAUCAUUGACCCCGCAGGACACGUGCGCAUGUUGGCAGGGCCGACUCCGGAGGAAUUCCAACUCUUCUGAAUCUGCCACCUUGCAGAGGGGACAGCUGACCCUUCGCCCCAUCUCUGAAAGGGCCAAGGAUCUUUCCUCUCAUUGCUUCCUACUGAAUGCCCAGGAUGCCUCGGUGUUGCCUACCUUCCGCAAAAUCCUCAGGGCUGGAUCGUUUUCGGAAACUGCCACCAGAGGGAGCUCCAACAAUAGAGCUGGAUUUUGCUUCCUCCCAGCUCAUAAAGGAAGUCGGGGGCGGGGGAAAUGCUGUUCUCUGCCACCAGCAGGUGCAAAGAUCAGUUUAAAACGCCCAAGAUUGUAACUUCACUACUAAUUCGUGAAAAGCAUAUGGUGGAAUAAUGCUGGAUCUGCAGAGUGACAGAAUAGCUGUCCUCCACCGUGAGUUUCCCUCAUUUCAGACUCAAAUACUUCAGACCCAAAUGAUCUCCAAAUCAGAACUCCUGCCUCUGCAUUCAGUCUGUAGUGUUCUCUCCAGAGGACUGAAUCCUAGCACCCUCGCUCCCCUCCCCUCCUCUGCCAGGCUUUACAGCCUCCGGAACUGCCCUUUCAACCAGAACAGAGCCCAGACUGUCACCUCGAACAUCAGAGGAGUCCCAGCCCCAUUCCUGAGUGCCCCUCUUCCCCCAGCUGCCCUGUGAACAGUGAUAAGAGCUGUGACUGUGUUCUCCAGGCACUGAAAUUAAAGUCAGAACCACUCCGGCUAUAGAUUCCAUGUGCCGCUUCUUACUGCAGACCCUCAUCUCGGUUUGGGAUGGGGAUGUGGGCAGUGUGUUUUGCUGCCAGGAUGAAGUGGUUCAAUUCUCCUAGAAGGAGAUGCAGCAGUCACGUCCAAAAGCAUGACAAAGCCCACCUAAGAUGACCUGUAUCUUAGAAUAGUCUGAAUUCAUGAGGCUUCCGUCCUCAUGUGAAUAUGUCACUAGCACUUGUUCCUUCUUCUGGGGGUAUACUCAGCCAGCAAUUUCCUUCUUUAAGUUUGGAGACAGUUGUAAAGAGGGGAGAACCCUUGGGCUCAUGGGCCUUUAGUUUUCAUGCAAAAUCUAAGACCUCACCUAGUGGGGGAGGCAGAGAGAAUUGGCCCUGACUUUCAGGUUUGGGGGUUCAGCACAGAUCACUGUUGUGGGAUCCAGACAUUCCUGCACCCAGGAGAUGUGCAAGGACAAGCAUGAGAAAAACUGCAUCUGGCCAGGCACAGUGGCUCACGCCUGUAAUCCCAGCACUGUGGGAGGCCAAGGCAGGUGGAUCACCUGAUGUCAGGAGUUCAAGACCAGCCUGGCCAACAUGGUGAAACCCCGUCUCCACUAAAAAUACAAAAAUUAGCCAAGCAUAGUAGCACAUGUUUGUAAUCCCAGCUACUCAGAGGUUGAGGCAGCAGAAUUGCUUGAACCUGGUGGAGGUUGCAGUGAGCCGAGAUCGCACCACUGCACUCCAGCCUAAGCAACAGAGCCUUGGGGGAGAAAAAAAAGAAAAACAAUGUAUCUGAGGCGUGCGUGACUACUGGGUAACGGCAGCCAUUCCUGGGGAUGUCUGGAAAGGCUUCAGAGGGCAGGCAGACCUGAGUUCCUCCUGCCCUCUACCAAGAGAUGACUGCAGCCUCCAGCCUGGCCUGCACUGGCAGGCACCUUCAAGAGGGACGACAGGACCAACAGGGAGCUGCUGCUGUCCCCCAGGCCUCCCCUGCUCAGGUCUCAUUUGCCAUUCAUGACUUGUAGCUGAGAUGGGUGGAAGGCGCCCUCUGAGGCAUCUGGGUUCAAAACUCUGAAUGAAGAGAGCACUUGCAUUCUCUUUCUUCUCAUGCAUGGUCAAAAAUGCAGACUCUGUCCAAGAUGGUGCACACUCAGGGUUUUGGUUCAGGGAUGAUCAAGCCCCUUCAUCAGUGAUUUUCAUCCUCAUGUCAGCUAGUGCCUCCUCUGAAAUGGCCUAGAGCCUUCAUGCCAUUGCCUCUGCCUUCCCCAGCAUCCCCAUUUCACAGGGCAGCUUGAGGAAGAGGGGCAAUGAGGAACAGGGCUGAGACUCCUCUGAUGUUUGUGGUGACAGUCUGGCUCGGUUCUAGUUGGAAGGGCAGUUCCUGAGGCUGUUAGUUCCAGACCAGCCUGGCCAACAUGGCAAAACCCCGUUUCUACUAAAAAUAUAAAAAGUAGCCGGGUGUGGGGGUGCACACCUGUAAUCCCAGCUACUCAGGAGGCUGAGGCAGGAGAACUGCUUGAACCCAGGAAGCAGAGAUUGCAGUGAGCCAAGAUAGCGCCACUGCACUCCAGCCUGGGGACAGAGUGAGACUCCGAAAAUAAAAAUAAAAAUAAAAAUGUGCACAUUCUGUUAUUCAUGUGUGCAUUUUAAAAAAAAUGGCCUUAUCAAGGAUGAGGGUUUUGGCAUUUGUGCAAAGCCUGAGGUUUUAGGAAAAUGUCGUUGAUGAACUGACGCUGGCAAGACUCUCCAUUUACAGUAACCUGUGACUAGAAAUGUCUCACGUUGGGAGAAAAAUGAGGAAUCCGGGAGAAUAAGUGUCAUGGUGGGUUUAUGUGGGGCAUUUUCUUCUUUGUCCAACACCUCAGAUCUGCAACCAAACCAGCAAAAGCUAGUACGUCUCAGGAAAAACUUCUGCUUGUUACCGAGCUUCCUGGAAAAUUGCAUUUGGAGAGCUAUGAAGGCUUGGCUGUGAGUAAUUUGUUUUUUAAAUAGCUCUGUUAGUUGGUCCACAUUGUGUUUUUCAUUCCACCAGAGCCGAAGGUGGUGUUUCUUUUGUUUAUGGUAUUAGUGUUAUAUUAUUGGUGAUCUCAUUGUUCUUGUUUGUGACAUGUUUACCUCAGUAGGACAGUUAUUGUAGGAGGGAAGUCGGGAGCCAGUCUACCCACCAAACCUGCAGAACUAAAGAAAAAGACUCCAAUCUGUCCCGCAGGGUGCAUAUUACUCCUUUCUUGGAUUGUUAAAUUCUAAUUAUAGGCUGUUGAUCCCCAUUAGAACCAUUUGUAAGCCUAAACACUGUUGUGCAGCAUCUUUUGCCAAUAGGUGUGUUUCAUUCCAAUCGUUGUAUAAAACAUAACAUUCGUGCUUUUGGGGGACUACAACAGGUUAGUGUUCUCUGGCAAAGUUGGACAAGAAAUAGUCAAAAUAUGACUCAAAACUAAGAUAGUGCAAACAAAAGUACACUUUGCCUUGAUGUUUAUUUAUUAGGGAUUUCUGAAACCCUAGGACACUAGAGCUCACCUUUCAGAUCUCAGACCUCAGAUGCCACAUCGUCAAGGAAGCUCUCCUGGACUGCCCACUUCCACAUUCCUGGGACAGCAGAGAUCUCCCCCAGCCCUGCCUGGCACUUGACACAGUGGAUCAUUUCACAGGACUGGGGGAUUAGUUAACUGUCUUUCCACUAGAUGGAAAGUUUCAGAGGAAUCCUGUCGGGAUUACCGAUGCCUAGUAUGAUGCUUAGCACACAGUAGGCAUUUAAUAAAUGUGUUGUGUAGUGCCUGUGUACUGUUUUAUUUGGGAAUCUUCAGAAGGUAAGAAAAGCAAAUGGAUACAUUCAUAAUAAGUAUGAGAUGUGGAGAGCAAGCAAGUCCGUAGAUUAUAAGACGUAAGCAAAAUUCAUAGUAUGUGUUAAGUAGAAGAGGGGAUGAAUAAGAUGGAGCUGUGAGACUCAGGAAGAACUCACAGAAUUCACAUGGAUAAUGAGUAAAUCAAUAACCUGUGGGAGAUGUUGAAGACAGAUACAAUAAGUGGAACAUAUAAUAGAACAAACCAGAGUGCUAUGGACCAAUAGAGAGACAUUAAAAGACCAAGUUGUAAGAUACAUUCAUGCUACAUCAGGGCUGACAGCUAUCUGAUUCCCAAAAUCAGCCACUCAUCCAUCGGUGACACCCAUUAUGGUCCCAGUUGUGUUCUGCCCAAGAAGCACAGAUAAACAGAGAGAGCUGUUCAGGAGGCUAAUGGAUGCUCCUGCUGUGGCCAGGAGAACUUGCCCCUGGCUCUCCAAUAGCAAAAGCGUGUAUCGUUGCCUCGGGCACCUUCUUUCUGUUGGGUCCCUUCACUCAUCCUCAAUUAUGGUCCUUGUAACCACAUCAUUAAGAAAGAAAGUUAAUAUGGGUGGGAGGGAUAUGGGUGGGAGGCAAUAUGUGAACAUUGCAUAUUAAAUGGCCCAGGAUUCAGGAAGGGGACUUCCCACCUGCUUCUGUGGUAUAUGUGUUAACCUACCCCAUCUCUUUCCUCUUGCUUCUCAUUGUGUGUUUAAAAUUUAUUCAACAAUCUGUAUGAUUCAAGUAUCUUAACUAGAUCUUUCUAUUGUAUUACCUCCAGAAUAGUUUGCCUGGUAGCGCAAUAGUUUGCCUGGAGAUUAAUUUCCUAUACAACAUAUUGAAAUAGUGCAUUGUGAAUUGGCUACUAUGACUGCUGAUUAGGGUGAGGGUUAGGGUUAAACCAGUUUCUGAAUCUAGCUACUCCCCCCUACCAUAAAAACCACUUGCAUUCAACAAUUAGCCAUUGCAUUAAGUGCUAAAGAUACAAUGAUGAGAAAACAGCCAUGAUUCCUGCCCUCAUGAAGUUUAGAACAGAAGAAAGACUAUCUGGUAAUCACACAAAUAAGUAACAAAUAAAUCUAACGUUUUAACCAGUGAUAAACCCUCUGAAGAGAAAGUGCACUGAGGUCCUCUGAGAGCAUAUGCCAGGGGAAUUUGACCCAUUCAGAGAGGGUUAAUUAAGCUAAGGGAAAAGGCAUAAAUGUCUCAGGCAGAAGGAAUUGGCUAUGCAAAGGCCACGUGAUGGGAUGAUGUCAUCAACCAUUCUUUCAGCAGACAGCACUGACCCCGUGUGCCCAGCCGCAUGCUAGAGGCAGGAAUACAGGGGAGAAAGACCAGCACUGCCCCCAAGAAAAGCCCACGAUGACUGUCGGACCUAGGAGGAUCCUUGGAGAACCUGAAAAGGUUUCACAUUGCAUGGAGGAUAAGACUAGAGCCUUAUAAGAUAAGACAUCACUGAGAGUUCAGUUGUUAAUCCUGGGAGGGGUGAACUCAUGAAUGAUCACUGGGUGUGGUGGUGCAUCCCUGGCUCUAGUCUUACCCUCCAUGCAACGUGAAAACUUCUGAUGCCCCAACUCAAACCUAAUUUUCAAGCCUUCGUUAGCUAAAAUCUCACCGAAGUCCAGCUUUAGGAGAAAUAACAGAUACUAUUCCCUGGCUUAUGCCAAACUCUUUACAUGCAUUGUUUUGUUUUUUUAUCUUUGUAACAACCAUGUGAGAUUGCACUAAACUGACACUCAGAGAGAAGGUAAGUCAUGCCCCCGAGUCAUUCAGCUAAUAAGUGAAAAGAAAAAAAAAAAUCAAGAUCCAAACCCAGGUCAUUCUGGCCCUAGAGCUGAAACUCAGUGAAAACCAAGCUCUAGCCAGGAAUUGUGGUUAAAAUAAAGCUUCAGCCAGCUGGAUACUCCAGGGUGUUUAGGAAUGUGAAGUUUGUGGGUAUAUCUUGGUAUUGUGGUUGUGUUGAUGCUAUUGUAGUUUUGGUAAUGUGGUCAUCUCUUGACAGUACAUGCUGAAAUGCUUGCAGAUUAAGUGUGGCAAGGUCCAGGUUUUACUUCCAAAUAAUCUGUGUGAAUAGGGGAAGCAGUGUGUGUGUAGGUUUUGACAGCUGGGGAGGCAGAGUCCGUGGGAAGGAGGGGAGGAAAUAGAUUGACCAUAAAAUAGAUUUGCCUUCGUUAUUUGGAGGUUGGGGACAGGUGCAUGGGAGUUCACUAUAAUAUUCUCUUUUCUUUCCUAUAUGUUGGAAAUUUUCCAUAAAAUGUUUUUUUCCAAAACAAGUUAAGUUCUGGGUUAUGUUUUGAUGGCCUACUCCUUCAUCUCCAAAUCCCAUAGACUUUCACAAUUAUAUUUGCCCCCGUAAUUGGAAGUUGUAUGGGGCUGUUUCAAAAAUCUGAGUCAUCAAAGAUGUAAUUGACUUCCUACCGCCGGAUUAGCAGGCAAAAAUGUACCCGAUACUUUCUCUACCGGCGCUGUGUUGGGCUCUGGGCUGAAACCCAGUCUCUCACAGGCCCUCGGAACAGCCCCACCAGUUAAGAUCCAUCCCUGACUUCCAACUCUGUAACUAGGGACAAGUUAAUUGACUCCUCUUAGCCCUUAGUGUCCUCAUCAAUUAUUACGUGGUAAUAACCCCUCAGAGAGUCGCCGGGAGAAUUAGCUCGGCGCGGUGCAUGGGGCUAGAACUCAGGGCCCAGCAGGUCUGACAAUGCAGGUUUCCCCGCUCGCCUGUUGGGUUUUUGAAACGCCCUCAGCGGGGUUUUCCUCCUAAUUCUGGUUUGGAGGAGCCAUCUCUCUCCAUCCCGUCUGCCAGCGGGGUUUGCUUCACACACAGACGUGGGCAGAUGGCAUCGGGGACACAGGGAAACCUGACCUUAGAGGAAAUGGAAAAGUUGGAGAGACACUGAGCACUGAUACGAAAUAAUUCUCUUGCUGAAAUACACGAAAGGAGUCCCAGCAGCCAUAUUAGUAUUUCCACGUCCUGUGUCAGCCCCAAGUAGAGAGAACUUGGAAUGGGAGGGGAAAUGGCAGCCAUCAGGAAAUGAAAUGCUGGCCCAGAGAAUUCUAAGCAAGUCAAUCACCAGUCCAAAAUGCUUCAUCUGGAGAAUUUCAAAGAGACAACCAACCACCUGUUGUCAAUUUCCAUUCACCACCCUAAGUGUUAAUGUAUCUCUGGUUUCCUAAAGUAUUGAAUAAGUAUGAAGCCAAUCAAGCUUUGCCAUGGAGUACCUGGACCAAUCAGUUACCUUGGUUGACUCUUAGUUCCUUCUUGGUAUCUCUGGUUCUAUUUAACACAAUGCACCCGGGUUCUAUGGCUCCAUAAGAGAUGCUCAAAUAAAG